rnacentral:snRNA from 1 species
UCUCCUUCUCCUAAAGUAGACUA